AUUGAACGCUGGCGGCAGGCCUAACACAUGCAAGUCGAACGAGUGGCGGACGGGUGAGUAAUGUCUGGGAAACUGCCCGAUGGAGGGGGAUAACUACUGGAAACGGUAGCUAAUACCGCAUACCAUCGGAUGUGCCCAGAUGGGAUUAGCUUGUAGGUGAGGUACCGGCUCACCUAGGCGACGAUCCCUAGCUGUGCUGAGAGGAUGACCAGCCACGCUGGAACGUGAACACGGUCCAGACUCCUCCGUGAGGCAGCAGUGGGGAAUAUGGAGCAAUGGGCGCAAGCCUGAUGCAGCCAUGGCGCGGGUAUGAAGAGGGCCGUCGGGUUGUAAAGUACUUGCAGCGGGUAGGCGUUACUCGCAGAAGAAGCACCGGCUAACUCCGUGCCAGCAGCCGCUGUAAUAC
rnacentral:rRNA from 1 species